GAGCACGUAGGUGGGUUUGUAAGUCAGAUGUGAAAGCCUUCUGUUCAACGGAAGAAUUGCAUCUGAAACUACAAACCUUGAGUAUAGGAGGGGAGAGUGGAACUUCUGGUGGAGCGGUGAAAUGCGUAGAUAUCAGAAGGAACGCCGGCGGCGAAAGCGGCUCUCUGGCCUAUUACUGACACUGAGUGUGCGAAAGCUAGGGGAGCAAACGGGAUUAGAUACCCCGGUAGUCCUAGCCGUAAACGAUGGGCACUAAGUAGGGGAAACUACCGAUGUUUUCUCUGCCGUAGCUAACGCAUUAAGUGCCCCGCCUGGGGAGUACGGCCGCAAGGCUAAAACUCAAAAGAAUUGACGGGGGCUCGCACAAGCGGUGGAGCAUGUGGCUUAAUUCGAUGCAACGCGAAAAACCUUACCGGGGUUUGACAUGAUAGAAGUAGGAACUCGAAAGAGGGACCAACGGUAUCCAGUCCGUAACUACCACAGGUGUUGCAUGGCUGUCGUCAGCUCGUGUCGUGAGACGUUGGGUUAAGUCCCCUAACGAGCGAAACCCUUGUUUUUAGUUACCAGCGGGUUAAGCCGGGUACUCUAGAGAGACUGCCGUCAUCAAGACGGAGGAAGGUGGGGAUGACGUCAAGUCAUCAUGGCCCUUAUACCCCGGGCUGCACACGUGCUACAAUGGUCGGUACAAAAGGAAGCGAGACCGAGAGGUGAAGCGAAUCC
rnacentral:rRNA from 1 species